UAGGUGUCCCUGACAACCUUAAAAAGCAGAGUUCCCUGGUGGCUCAGUGGGUUAAGGGUCUGGUGUUGUCACUGCUGUGGCGAGGGUUGAUCCCUGGCCCUGGAACUUCUUUAUGCUGUGGGGGUGGCCAAAAUAAAUAGAUGAAUAAAGAGCAAGUAAAAAUCAGCAGUGUUCAAAGGAGCAGCUUUCCUCACAUCUUUUAGGCUGAGCUCUAAUGCUAAUGCUAAUUGUAAAAAAGUAGAGAAUACAGUUAAUUUUAUUAUUGACUUAGAAAUUUCAUUUUGCCACAUUUCCAGGACUUGUGAAUAUUGUUACUGAACUGAACUUGGGUCUGCUCACCUGCCACACAGCAAAGCCAAUUUACUGGCACUGGCUUGUGGUGAAGGAAAAUCCAGUGCUUAUUUGCAAGCACCAAGCAAGGAGUGCUAUUGGCUUGUGCUCAAGAGACCCAAAUUCCUCAGUGGCUCUCAGAGAAGGAUUUUUAAAGGCAGCAAGUGGGGUGAGGGCUUCAACGUGCGUGACUUUCUUCUGAUUGGUUGGUGGUGAGGGAGCAGGCUGGUGUUUCAGGAAUCUUAAUCAUCAAGCUUCAGGUUCCAGUCAUUCUGGGGUCUCUGUGCACUGUCUGGGUGGAGGCAAGUCUGGGCUCUGUGUGCAUCGUCCUGGGUGGAGCAGGUAUUCGCUGAGCUCCUCCGAUGGGCGGAGGUGGACAGCCAGCCCUUGAGGGGAUCACAGGCAGUGAGACUUGGAGAACCACAAGACGAACACCCACCCGGCUGGUGGGAGACAAGGGAAGAAAGAAGAGGGAGAAGAGGGAUCGACCAAAGAAGGUAUGAAGAAGGAUUCUCCAGGCAGAACAACCUGUGUCAGCUACCAGCAGAAACACAUUACACGGUCAUGUUCACACUGCAGUCCCCCAGAGGAGGUGGGGAGGAAUUUAGGGAAGACUUCCCAAGGGAGGUGAAGGACAUCCCAGGCAGUGUGUGCAGAGGUGCUGGCAUUUUGGGACAGGUGUAAGUAGUACAGGGUGAUGACAGUGCAGCACCUGAGGGACAGCAAUGCCUGUGCCUGUUAAGUAGCUUGUACUGAAAGCCAAAGGAAUCCUGGAGAGGAGGGAGAGCGAGCGAGAAGGACUGCGUGACUGUGCUC
rnacentral:lncRNA from 1 species